rnacentral:rRNA from 1 species
CCUACGGGAGGCAGCAGUGGGGAAUUUUGGACAAUGGGGGAAACCCUGAUCCAGCAAUGCCGCGUGUGUGAAGAAGGCCUUCGGGUUGUAAAGCACUUUUGUCCGGAAAGAAAACCUUUGCACUAAUACUGUGAGGGGAUGACGGUACCGGAAGAAUAAGCACCGGCUAACUACGUGCCAGCAGCCGCGGUAAUACGUAGGGUGCGAGCGUUAAUCGGAAUUACUGGGCGUAAAGCGUGCGCAGGCGGUUCGUUAAGACAGAUGUGAAAUCCCCGGGCUUAACCUGGGAACUGCAUUUGUGACUGGCGAGCUAGAGUAUGGCAGAGGGGGGUAGAAUUCCGCGUGUAGCAGUGAAAUGCGUAGAGAUGUGGAGGAAUACCGAUGGCGAAGGCAGCCCCCUGGGCCAAUACUGACGCUCAUGCACGAAAGCGUGGGGAGCAAACAGGAUUAGAUACCCUGGUAGUCCACGCCCUAAACGAUGUCAACUAGUUGUUGGGUCUUCAUUGACUUAGUAACGUAGCUAACGCGUGAAGUUGACCGCCGUGGGGAAGUACGGUCGCAAGUAUUAAAACGUUAAAGGAAUUGACCGGNUGAGACGUGCCGACGGACGACGACGAGGGAGGUAGG